rnacentral:rRNA from 1 species
AAACCAGCACCUCAAGUGGUCAGGAGGAUUAUUGGGCCUAAAGCAUCCGUAGCCUGUUCUGUAAGUUUUCGGUUAAAUCCAUUAGCUCAACUAAUGGGCCGCCGAAAAUACUGCAUAACUAGGGAGUGGGAGAGGUAGACGGUACUCGGUAGGGAGGGGUAAAAUCCUUUGAUCUAUUGAUGACCACCUGUGGCGAAGGCGGUCUACCAGAACACGUUCGACGGUGAGGGAUGAAAACUGGGGGAGCAAACCGGAUUAGAUACCCGAGUAGUCC